GGCUCCCAGGAAUGAAACGCCUGGGCCGGGCGUUGCUUUAACACAUGCAGUUCGAACCGGGUGAAGCCAAGCCUUGCCUUUGGGUGGAAUCCAGUGGCCGAACGGGUGGAGUUAACCACGUGAAGCAAACCUUGCCUGGACCUCUGGGGAAUAAAGGCCGCUGGGAAACGGGCGUCCUAAUACUGGAAUAUGAGCUCCUUCCGCAUGGUGGGGGGUUGGAAAAGAUUUUUCGGUCUGGGAUGGGCUCGCGGCCUAUCAGCUUGUUGGUGAGGUAAUGGCUCACCAAGGCGUCGACGGGUAGCCGGCCUGAGAGGGUGACCGGCCACACUGGGACUGAGACACGGCCCAGACUCCUACGGGAGGCAGCAGUGGGGAAUAUUGCACAAUGGGCGGAAGCCUGAUGCAGCAACGCCGCGUGAGGGAUGACGGCCUUCGGGUUGUAAACCUCUUUUAGCAGGGAAGAAGCGAAAGUGACGGUACCUGCAGAAAAAGCGCCGGCUAACUACGUGCCAGCAGCCGCGGUAAUACGUAGGGCGCAAGCGUUAUCCGGAAUUAUUGGGCGUAAAGAGCUCGUAGGCGGUUUGUCGCGUCUGCUGUGAAAUCCCGAGGCUCAACCUCGGGCCUGCAGUGGGUACGGGCAGACUAGAGUGCGGUAGGGGAGAUUGGAAUUCCUGGUGUAGCGGUGGAAUGCGCAGAUAUCAGGAGGAACACCGAUGGCGAAGGCAGAUCUCUGGGCCGUAACUGACGCUGAGGAGCGAAAGGGUGGGGAGCAAACAGGCUUAGAUACCCUGGUAGUCCACCCCGUAAACGUUGGGAACUAGUUGUGGGGACCAUUCCACGGUUUCCGUGACGCAGCUAACGCAUUAAGUUCCCCGCCUGGGGAGUACGGCCGCAAGGCUAAAACUCAAAGGAAUUGACGGGGACCCGCACAAGCGGCGGAAGCAUGCGGAUAAUUCGAUGCAACGCGAAAGAACCUUACCAAGGCUUGACCAUAUACGAGAAGGGCCCAGAAAUGGUCAACUCUUUGACACUCGUAAACAGGUGGUGCAUGGUUGUCGUCAGCUCGUGUCGUGAGAUGUUGGGUUAAGUCCCGCAACGAGCGCAACCCUCGUUCUAUGUUGCCAGCACGUAAUGGUGGGAACUCAUGGGAUACUGCCGGGGUCAACUCGGAGGAAGGUGGGGAUGACGUCAAAUCAUCAUGCCCCUUAUGUCUUGGGCUUCACGCAUGCUACAAUGGCCGGUACAAAGGGCUGCAAUACCGUAAGGUGGAGCGAAUCCCAAAAAGCCGGUCCCAGUUCGGAUUGAGGUCUGCAACUCGACCUCAUGAAGUCGGAGUCGCUAGUAAUCGCAGAUCAGCAACGCUGCGGUGAAUACGUUCCCGGGUCUUGUACACACCGCCCGUCUUUGUCAUGAAAGUCGGUAACACCUGAAGCCGGUGGCCCAACCCUUGUGGAGGGAGCCGUCGAAGGGUUAAAAG
rnacentral:rRNA from 1 species